GACGAACGCUGGCGGCGUGCUUAACACAUGCAAGUCGAACGAUGAAGAAGAGAAACGCGAACUUCGGUUCAAAUUUCACUUCGGAUUAGUGGCAGACGGGUAAGUAACGCGUGAGCAACCUACCUCUUACAAAGGGAUAGCCUCGGGAAACCGUGAUUAAUACCAUAUGACACAUUCAUAAGGCAUCUUAAGAAUGUUAAAGCUACGGCGGUAAGAGAUGGGCUCGCGUCCCAUUAGCUAGUUGGUGAGGUAACGGCCCACCAAGGCGACGAUGGGUAACCGGCCUGAGAGGGUGAACGGUCACAUUGGAACUGAGACACGGUCCAAACUCCUACGGGAGGCAGCAGUGGGGAAUAUUGCACAAUGGAGGGAACUCUGAUGCAGCGACGCCGCGUGAGCGAUGAAGGAAUUCGUUUCGUAAAGCUCUGUUCUAUGGGAAGAAAAGGACUGUACCAUAGGAGAAAGCCCCGGCUAAAUACGUG
rnacentral:rRNA from 1 species